rnacentral:rRNA from 1 species
AUUGAACGCUGGCGGCAUGCUUUACACAUGCAAGUCGGACGGUAACAGGUUAGGCUGACGAGUGGCGAACGGGUGAGUAAUGCAUCGGAACGUGCCCGAUCGUGGGGGAUAACGCAGCGAAAGCUGCGCUAAUACCGCAUACGAUCUGAGGAUGAAAGCGGGGGACCGUAAGGCCUCGCGCGAUCGGAGCGGCCGAUGUCAGAUUGGGUAGUUGGUGGGGUAAAGGCUCACCAAGCCAACGAUCUGUAGCUGGUCUGAGAGGACGACCAGCCACACUGGGACUGAGACACGGCCCAGACUCCUACGGGAGGCAGCAGUGGGGAAUUUUGGACAAUGGGCGAAAGCCUGAUCCAGCAAUGCCGCGUGCAGGAAGAAGGCCUUCGGGUUGUAAACUGCUUUUGUACGGAGCGAAAAGGCUCUCUCUAAUACAGGGGGCUCAUGACGGUACCGUGAGAAUAAGCACCGGCUAACUACGUGCCAGCCGCCGCGGUAA